GACGAACUGUGCAAACGUUAUUCGGAAUCACUGGGCUUAAAGGGUGCGUAGGCGGUCUUGUAAGUAGGGUGUGAAAGCCCCCGGCUCAACCGGGGAACUGCGUCCUAAACUGCGAGGCUAGAGUGAGGUAGGGGUGUGUGGAACUUCCAGUGGAGCGGUGAAAUGUGUUGAUAUUGGAAGGAACGCCGGUGGCGAAAGCGACACACUGGACCUUGUCUGACGCUGGAGGCACGAAAGCCAGGGGAGCAAACGGG
rnacentral:rRNA from 1 species